AUCUGGAAACCUGUUGUGCUUUUCAGAGGCGUUUCUGACCCCGAGAAACUUCCAAAGAACUUUCCACAUAACUAAUGAAAGGUAUCCAUCACAAAGGAACAGAAGUCUCUGAUGUAUGCAAAUCUUUUUGGGCACUGGCUUCACUUACAAUGAAGUACCAUGGAUAAGGUGUUUGUUCUGUAAUCUGUUAAGACCACCUCA